CUCAGAUCAUGAACUCCUCAUUGCCAAAUUCAUACUUAAAUUGAAGAAAGUAGGGAAAACCACUAGACCAUUCAGAUAUGACCUAAAUCAAAUUCCUUACUACUAUACAGUGGAAGUGACAAAUAGAUUCAAGGGGUUAGAUCUGAUAGACAGAGUGCCU